GGGGGGUUAGCUCAGCUGGUAGAGCGCUACAAUGGCAUUGUAGAGGUCAGGGGUUCGACUCCCCUACCCUCCACCA
rnacentral:tRNA from 1 species